UGCCCAGCAACUCCCAUUCCUACCUCCUCGUGGUACUGGCCGGGGUACGAGUAACCUUAGGGAAGAUCGGG
rnacentral:ribozyme from 1 species